rnacentral:rRNA from 1 species
CACGGAUGGACAAGUGUUAUUCAUCAUAACUAGGCGUAAAGGCUUUUAGGUUGUUAUUGUGUUCUUAUUAAAAAACGAAGUUUAAAGCUUUGGAUUAUUAUUAAUACUAAUUAACUGGAAUAUUUUAGAAUAUAAGAUACUUUAAAUGUAAAGGUAAAAUUUGUUAAAAUUUAAAGGAUGACCAGUCAGGUGAAGACGUUAUAUUAUUUAAUAUUGACACUCAAGAGCAAAAGUAUAAGAGCAAAUGGG